UUAACAUUUAAUUAUAACCUUAAAAGCGUCGCAGUAAAACCUUUCCUAGCCUUUGUAUUCAUAAUCUUCCACUGUCUUACUAAUCAGCCUUCUUUGCAAUUCAGCUGUUGAUUAUUAACAUCUCUGCCACUGUGGUUUACUUUAACUGGUCAUUUCAUGGCUCUGCCAUCCAAUGUAUAACCUGCCUCAUCAUUAAGUUUCCAAGUUGAGAAUUGUUAGAACCCCGUCUGAAAGUAACAGGUCGGAAAGAUUAGCAUGAUACAGAGAAUAUCAAAAAUUCAUUCAGAGGAAUAGAGUUGAAGAGAUGAUUUCCAAACAAGAAAUGUUGUUGGAAGGGUAAGAAGGAAGGCACCAGGUAGGCACGCUUUAAUAGGAAAACACAUGUAUAUAUCCAUUUGUAUGACUUCUCAACUCAGCAUUAUCUUCUGUCCAAAACUACAAGUAGAGAAGCUGGUAGAAGAAAAACACAGGAUUAAAAAUUGAUCAGACAAAAAACUUUCUGAACAUCUAACAGCAUAGCAGGCCACAACAUUACAGGUUAUCUGGUUCAUAUUAGGAUUAAAAAUUGAUCAGACAAAGAACUUUCUGAACAUGUAACAGUAUAGCAGGCCACAACAUUACAGGUUAUCUGGUUCAUAUUUAUGAAGGAUGUAACUUCUAAAAGAGAAUAAACCCUCCUCCUUUGUCCGGGCUUGGGACCGGCUGUGUUACACGAGAACUCAAGCACAGGCGGAGUUAAAAACU
rnacentral:lncRNA from 1 species